rnacentral:lncRNA from 1 species
AAAAGUGUUCCCUUCGGGUGGAACUGCCUGGGGAGACGGUAGAGCCUGAGUCCUGUGUGAGCGUGGCUAGGGACGGUGAGGGUGCAGUCCGGGCUGGCCUUGUUCUGAAGCGAGCCAGCGAGGCAUGCGGUGAGUACCGAGUAGGACUGUCACAAGCAUAGCAGCACGACCGGCUGAAUCUUCGGUCUCGCCAACCCGCAAAGAUCCUGAGAAUAGACUUAAUUAAGGAAUACACCUAAUCACGCACCCGCACGUGCUCGUAUCCCCUGAAAGCGACCCCGAAUAGUAGCUCAAUAGUGCGCAAUAGUGAGUGAAUAGUGAGUGAAUAGUGCCGCCACCCAUAGGUGCUCCAUCCACUCCCGGUGAGUGCUCGGGCACUAUUCAUAUUCCCGAAUUUGAAUAGUGAGCUGAAUUUAAAUAGUGCCGCGAAUUUGAAUAGUGUUCGCCGAAUUUGAAUAAUACGGUGAAUAGUAACUCGAAAUUUGAAAUCCGAAAUUUUUCAGAGUCGCUCGUUUCCUCGCCCUCGAUCGUGAUUAACUGCGUCAAUCAUUCGGGCGUGGAAGACCAUACCAAGCAGCAUCCAGAAUAUCACGAGAAGACAGUACGCGAUAGAGGACAAGGCAAAAAGAAUAAACAGCAACUCUACUGUAUCCAGGACAAUUAUUGAGGAGCGGGGAGCCGUCCAAGUGUCCAGGCAACAGAAGAGUUUAAUAGUUGAAGGCACCAGAAGCCUUAAGCACGAAGCAACUCCAGAAGCCUCUGCCGCGACUAUAAAAGGAGGUACCGGGUGAAGCAUUGGAGGCAUGAACGACAUCAACCAGACAACCACCAGAGCAUCACCAAGAAUCACGAAGACACACUCCACCACCGAAGACCUCCACCCACACUCCACUCAUGAAGACUUCCACCACCACUCUCUGAGAGAAAAAGAAUUAGCCACCAUAUUUUAGAAUCUACCGCUGUAUUACUCCACCUCUGUACUACCACUACUAGAAUAAAGGGAGGCCGUUGGCGCUCGUCCCUCGGUUUGUAAGGUAAUCAAGGUUUGUGCUAAGUGCGUGGGGUUUCCCGAAAGGGAAAGCCGCAUGUAAGCUUGUCCCGUGGAAAUGGAUUAAGCUGUCCUGGUAGCAUCCCUGCUUUCCUUUAAGCUCGUUCUUAUGGGGCGAUGUCUCUACGCUAGGGACCCUAGAGGAGAAACCUCUGCGUGUGUCGUUCUCGUGUUAGCCCUGGUAGCGGCGUUUGAGGAGAACCCUGUGUGCGCAGAGAAGUGUUCCCUUCGGGUGGAACUGCGAGGCAUGCGGUGAGUACCAAGUAGGACUGUCACAAGCAUAGCAGCACGACCGGCUGAAUCUUCGGUCUCGCCAACCCGCAAAGAUCCUGAGAAUAGACUUAAUUAAGGAAUACACCUAAUCACGCACCCGAGCGUGCUCGUAUCCCCUGAAAGCGACCCCGAAUAGUAGCUCAAUAGUGCGCAAUAGUGAGUGAAUAGUGGCUGAAUAGUGCCACCACCCAUAGGUGCUCCAUCCACUCCCGGUGAGUGCUCAGGCACUAUUCAUAUUCCCGAAUUUGAAUAGUGAGCUGACCGGACUGCACCCUCACCAUCCCCAGCCACGCUCAAACAGGACUCAGGCUCUACCGUCUCCCCAGGCAGUUCCACCCGAAGGG